rnacentral:pre_miRNA from 1 species
AAAAAGACAAACGCUGAGUUUCCAUAUCCAAUUUUGAUGGUCCGUCUUAAAUGAAAUUUUUUUAUAAUUCGUAUUUUCAUUGUUGUUAGAUGAUAAAACAUGAUUAAUAUUUUAUGCGUGACUUGUCUUUUUAAUAUUUUUCAUAAUUUUUUCAAAUAAGAUACCGUUGGGCACGGAAACCAGAGUUUAUA